rnacentral:lncRNA from 1 species
AGUUUGUGUUUGGAAUUGGAUCCAGUUGUACCGAUUUACUCCACUGUUUGCUACAAGAUUCAGCAGCUGUUCCGUGUGGGGGCCCCUGUUCCUGCUGUUCCCAGGCACCCGCUGGCAGGACAAAGCACCUUUCCCCAGGUGUGGAGAGCCAUGCCUGUACCGUUCCUCCAAUCUGCCCUUACACAAAUGUACCACAAAAUUCUCUUCAGCCUGGGAGUGUGGCAGGAAGAAGAGCUACUGGAUGCAUGGCUACAUUAGGAAGACCCAGAUGGAAGGGAAACUGGGCAAGCAAAUGAGUCUCUCUGGGGAUCAUGUGAUCGAAAUGUUUGUGGAAAAAAACAUACCCCAGACCAGAAGACAGAGUUAAGUAAAUGUUCAGUGUUGUUCUCAUAAUCUCUGCUCUUUGUAAAAGACAAUUAUCUCUGUUCCCUGUUUGCCUCUGACGGACUGUCUAGAAUAUCAAGCGAGGAAUGACAAGCCAUAUUUAUCUGUAAUGAUCAAAACUGAGUAUCACUCUUUCCUCCUCAAUUUAGAGGACUCCUUAUAAUUAACUGAUGAGCUGUCCCCAAGACAGUGCCAUUUAGAGUUGUUACUGACUCUAAUUGGGGAGAAAUGCAUUUGGAACGUUCCAAUUAGAAGCAUUUUUUUUUUCUGCUGUUCUUGUACAUACAUUCAAAGGGAGCGCCUGAGCGUCCAUGCCUUUUGUUUGGGCGGGAGGGGGGCUUGUAGCUUGAUGGAUUGUUUCUGUUUAUACUUAAGUAAAUAUUACAAAUGAAGCUCCUGUGAGCUCUAGAGUAACAAGAGGACCACAGGAGGAAACAGCAGACACAUUUUUCUCUUCAUUAUCAUAAUGAUCAUUAUUAUAGUGGAAAUGGGAUAUUUUGAAGAUGCUGUUGAAAGCACUCCUAAUUCCGUAUAUAGUGGAGGCCUCCUGAUAUUUUGUCUUUGGUUGUGUUUUUGAGAUAAUUACUAAGUAGGCCAGGAUGGGCUGGGACUUGCUCUGCAGAACUCAAGGCCACUUGUAUGUUUUGAUUUCCCACUCCUCCCUAUUUCUUUAUGGAGUUAUGAAGAACUUAGAACUUCAAAGCCAGCAUGGGUGUGUGUUUUCCCAAGUGCAAGAUAGCAGUCUGUGCUGUGGGGUUAAUUUACUCAUCAAACGACUAUGGGAAUAUUGGGGGUUUGUUUUUUGUUUUUUGUUUUUUAGUUGAAGACAUCAACAUAUAGCCAACCAUGGGAGACUGAGGCUGCCUCUGAGUCUCCAGCCCAGAGACGUCAGAGUUGAAGGGGUUCAUCUUUCUGGUGGGAAUCUUUAACCGUGCCUUAUUAAAUACAUUAAACUUUAUUUUCCAAA